UNNUGCAGUCGACGCUUUGUGGUUCAACUGAUUUGAAGAGCUUGCUCAGAUAUGACGAUGGACAUUGCAAAGAGUGGCGAACGGGUGAGUAACACGUGGGAAACCUACCUCUUAGCAGGGGAUAACAUUUGGAAACAGAUGCUAAUACCGUAUAACAAUAGCAACCGCAUGGUUGCUACUUAAAAGAUGGUUCUGCUAUCACUAAGAGAUGGUCCCGCGGUGCAUUAGUUAGUUGGUGAGGUAAUGGCUCACCAAGACGAUGAUGCAUAGCCGAGUUGAGAGACUGAUCGGCCACAAUGGGACUGAGACACGGCCCAUACUCCUACGGGAGGCAGCAGUAGGGAAUCUUCCACAAUGGGCGAAAGCCUGAUGGAGCAACGCCGCGUGUGUGAUGAAGGGUUUCGGCUCGUAAAACACUGUUGUAAGAGAAGAAUGACAUUGAGAGUAACUGUUCAAUGUGUGACGGUAUCUUACCAGAAAGGAACGGCUAAAUACGUGCCAG
rnacentral:rRNA from 1 species